AAGGAUUUAAGUUAAGCAUAAACUAUCAACCUUCAAAGUUGACAAUAGAGCAAUUUUCUAAGCCUUA
rnacentral:tRNA from 1 species